UGGUGGUUAUAGAGGGAGUGGUGCUCUAGAGGGAGUGGUGCUCUAGAGAGAAUGGUGCUUAUAGAGGGAGUGGUGCUUAUAGAGGGAGUGGUGCUUAUAGAGGGAGUGGUUCUCUAGAGAGAGUGGUGCUUAUAGAGGGAGUGGUGCUUAUAGAGGGAGUGGUGCUUUAGAGGGAGUGGUGCUUAUAGAGGGAGUGGUGCUUAUAGAGGGAGUGGUGCUUAUAGAGGGAGUGGUGCUCUAGAGAGAGUGGUGCUUAUAGAGGGAGUGGUGAUCUAGAGGGAUUGGUGCUUAUAGCGGGAGAGGUGCUCUAGAGGGAGUGGUGCUCUACAGGGAGUGGUGCUUUAAAGAGGGAGUGGUGCUCUAGAGGGAGUGGUGCUUAAAGAGGGAGUUGUGCUCUAGAGGGAGGGAGUGGUGCUUAAAGAGGGAGUGGUGCUCUAGAGGGAGUGGUGCUUAUAGAGGAAGUGGUGCUCUAGAGGGAGUGGUGCUUAUAGAGGGAGUGGUGCUUAUAGAGCGAGUGGUGCUUAUAGAGGGAGUGGUGCUUAUAGAGGGAGUGGUGCUCUAGAGGGAGUGGUGCUUAUAGAGGGAGUGGUGCUUAUAGAGCGAGUGGU
ensembl:lncRNA